GACGAACGCUGGCGGCGUGCUUAACACAUGCAAGUCGAGCGGUGCGGCGAACGGGUGAGUAAGGCGUGAGUAACUGCCCCCCUCUCUGGGAUAACAGUUGGCAACGGGUGCCAAUACCGGAUAGUGGGGGAUGACUCGCGUCCUAUCAGCUUGUUGGUCGGGUAGUGGCCUACCCAGGCGACGACGGGUCGCCGGCCUGAGAGGUCGACCGGCCACCUUGGGCUGAGGUACGGCCCAAACUCCUACGGGGCGCAGCAGGGGGGAAUAUUGCACAGUGGGGGAAACCGUGAUUCAGAAACGCCGCGUGCGGGAUGACGGCCUUCGGGUUGUAAACCUCUGUCAGCCAUGACGCGGUAGUGGCAGAAGAAGCACCGGCUAACUACGUGCCAGCAGCCGCGGUAAUAC
rnacentral:rRNA from 1 species